AUUGAACGCUGGCGGCAUGCCUUACACAUGCAAGUCGAACGGUAACAGGUCUUCGGAUGCUGACGAGUGGCGAACGGGUGAGUAAUACAUCGGAACGUGCCUAGUAGUGGGGGAUAACUACUCGAAAGAGUGGCUAAUACCGCAUGAGAUCUACGGAUGAAAGCAGGGGAUCGCAAGAACCUGGGCUACUAGAGCGGCCGAUGGCAGAUUAGGUAGUUGGUGGGAUAAAAGCUUACCAAGCCGACGAUCUGUAGCGGGUCUGAGAGGACGAUCAGCCACACUGGGACUGAGACACGGCCCAGACUCCUACGGGAGGCAGCAGUGGGGAAUUUUGGACAAUGGGCGAAAGCCUGAUCCAGCAAUGCCGCGUGCAGGAUAAAGGCCUUCGGGUUGUAAACUGCUUUUGUACGGAGCGAAAAGCCCCGGGUUAAUACCCUGGGGUCAUGACGGUACCGUAAGAAUAAGCACCGGCUAACUACGUGCCAGCAGCCGCCGCCG
rnacentral:rRNA from 1 species